CUUCCAGUACGGCAUCAAGAUGUCCGAGGGUCGUAAGACGCGUCGCUUCAAAGAGACCAAUGAGAAGGCAGAGCUGGACCGGCAGUGGAAGAAGAUCAGCGCGAUCAUAGAGAAGAGGAAGAAGAUGGAGGCCGACGGGGUGGACGUGAAGAGACCGAAAUACUGAAUCUGAAAUCUCCACUUUGAUUUCCUCUUCCUCCGUGUUCCUCUGGAUUAUUGAUGAGAUGUAACAGCAUCAUGUGACCAGUGGGAGGUCAAAGGUCACAGAUGAUUUGUUUUGUUUUUUUAAUGUAAAAGUUUUUACUUUAAUGUAAAAUCAAUAAAAUGUUACCCUCA